rnacentral:rRNA from 1 species
UUGGAGGGCAAGUCUGGUGCCAGCAGCCGCGGUAAUUCCAGCUCCAAUAGCGUAUAUUAAAGUUGUUGCAGUUAAAAAGCUCGUAGUUGAAUUUCGGGGUCCUACCGUUGGUCGGGCUUUGUCUGUACUGGUGUGUAGAACUUCUACCUUCUGGGGAACCAUCAUGCUAUUAAUUUAGCGUGGUGGGAAACCAGGACCUUUACCUUGAAAAAAUUAGUGUGUUCAAAGCAGGCUUAUGUCUGAAUACAUUAGCGUGGAAUAAUAGAAUAGGACGGUGGUCCUGUUUUGUUGGUUUCUGAAUCACCGUAAUGAUUAAUAGGGAUAGUUGGGGGCAUUAGUAUUCAAUUGUCAGAGGUGAAAUUCUUGGAUUUAUUGAAGACUAACUACUGCGAAAGCAUUUGCCAAGGAUGUUUUCAUUAAUCAAGAACGAAAGUUAGGGGAUCGAAGACGAUCAGAUACCGUCGUAGUCUUAACCAUAAACUAUGCCGACUAGGGAUCGGACGAUGUUAAUUUUUCAUGACUCGUUCGGCGCCUUACGGGAAAC